rnacentral:rRNA from 1 species
CCUACGGGUGGCAGCAGUGGGGAAUAUUGCGCAAUGGGCGAAAGCCUGACGCAGCGACGCCGCGUGAGGGAUGAAGGUCUUCGGAUCGUAAACCUCUGUCAGCAGGGAAGAACGGUCACUGUGCUAAUCAGCAGUGAAUUGACGGUACCUGCAAAGGAAGCACCGGCUAACUCAGUGCCAGCAGCCGCGGUAAUACGGAGGGUGCGAGCGUUAAUCGGAAUUACUGGGCGUAAAGCGCUCGUAGGCGGUAUGUCAAGUCAAGGGUGAAAUCCCCGCGCUCAACGUGGGAACUGCCUUUGAAACUGGCAGACUGGAGUGUGGGAGAGGAUAGUGGAAUUCCAGGGGUAGGAGUGAAAUCCGUAGAUAUCUGGAGGAACAUCAGUGGCGAAGGCGACUUUCUGGCACAUAACUGACGCUGAGGAGCGAAAGCGUGGGUAGCAAACAGGAUUAGAUACCCUGGUAGUC